rnacentral:tRNA from 1 species
GGCUCCAUAGCUUCAGUGGACAGAAGCGCUGGUCUACGAAACCAGAGGUCGCGAGUUCGAUCCUCGCUGGAGUCG